GUUUGAUCCUGGCUCAGAUUGAACGCUGGCGGCAUGCCUUACACAUGCAAGUCGAACGGCAGCACGGGAGCAAUCCUGGUGGCGAGUGGCGAACGGGUGAGUAAUAUAUCGGAACGUGCCCAGUAUGGGGGAUAACUGCUCGAAAGAGCAGCUAAUACCGCAUACGACCUGAGGGUGAAAGGGGGGAUCGCAAGACCUCUCGCUAUUGGAGCGGCCGAUAUCAGAUUAGCUAGUUGGUGGGGUAAAGGCUACCAAGGCAACGAUCUGUAGUUGGUCUGAGAGGACGACCAGCCACACUGGGACUGAGACACGGCCCAGACUCCUACGGGAGGCAGCAGUGGGGAAUUUUGGACAAUGGGGCGCAAGCCUGAUCCAGCAAUGCCGCGUGCAGGAAGAAGGCCUCGGUU
rnacentral:rRNA from 1 species